UGCAUCCCGAAGCCUUGGGCGCUCAUGGGAAUCUCUGCUGCGGCAGGGGCUGAGGAAGUGCUGGAGCGAGGAUGCAGCAUCUCAGGCCUGCUGGUUGUCGGGUCCCUCCGGGCGGAGCCUGUCCUGGCCAUCUCUCUCUUGGGUCCCAGCUGACCGGAAACUAUGGAUUUGUCACUUAAAUGCAUUACCCGAAUGGUCCUGCUGGAGUCUCUGCUCUUCAUCUUCACGAUCCAGGCCUCCACUGUCUACACUGCUGUCAGCUCUCCUGUCUUCUACACUCCCAUCAUGCUUUGAGCACUGACUGGCUUUUCCGGUCCAAAGAUCUAGAUACUUCCACAAUCCACCCCAAGGCGACACUGUCGGGUCUGUCUCAACAAGAUCACACUCGCAGUACCAACUUCAGUGCACGUUUGCUUUGUGCUGCUCUGAGGACAAGUCAAAGCCAUUGGCCAAAACCAAUCGGAGGGGAGGAAAGGGUUUAUGCGUGGCUUGCGCCUCCACACUGCAGUUCAUCAUGAAGGGGAGUCAGGGCAGGAACCCAGGGCAGAAAUGGAAACAAAUACUACCGGGGAGUUCUGCUUACUUACUUGCUUCCCAUGACUUACUCAGUCUGUUUUCUUACACAACCCGGCCUGCUUGCCCAGAGGUAGCAUCACACACAGUGGGCUGGGCCCUUCCACAUCCAUCAUUAACUGAGAAAAUGCCCUGCAGACUUGCCUCCUGUUAAACCUGAGAAUCGUGAGGAGAACAGACCAAAUCCACAAUUGUACAAUUAAAGCAAGCAGUAUUUUGGGGUGCACCUGAGACUGGCCACCUGGCUGUCUCAUCAUAAAUUGGGAUUUGAGAAAGCCGUUCCGGCUGGCUUCUCUGUGUAGCUUUGGAUCCUGUCCUGGAUCUCACUCUGUCGACCAGGCUGGCCUCGAACUCACAGAGAUCCACUUGCCUCUGCCUCCCAAGUGCUGGGAUUAAAAGUGUGCGCCACCACCACCCGGCAUCUUGAGGUUCUUUUUACAGGAGAAAGAGUUCACAGGGGCGAGAGAGUCGGCUGUUAUAUGUUGUUAGUAAAAUACAAUGAUGAAAGGAACAAGGGUCCGAGAUAUACUUCAUGUGAAUGGGGUCACGUGGUUUGCAGUGUGCAUCAGGUCUAAGAAACGGGAACUCAUUCCGCAAGCUACAUUGUUCCUGUUUUGGUCUCAUACCACAGGCCAAUCUGAUGGAGGCAUUUUCUCAAUUGAGGUUCCCUCCUCCUAGCUUAUGUCAAGUUGACAAAACAACAACUAACUAGCACAUUAUUGAAGUCUAAAAGACACACAAAUUUAGACCUAUAUUAUAUGGACUCAUUAUUGUUAUUGUUAUUAUAUUAUUACUUUAGGGCAAGGUAUGGAGCUCUGGCUGGCCUGGAACUCGUUAUAUAGACCAGGCUGGUCUCAGGCUCACAGAGAUUUACCUGCCUCGGCUUCCUAAGUGCUGACAGGCCUGGCUAAAGGCAUGAUUAAUACACUUUCCAAAGUGUGGGAGAGUCCUAGAGUUUGGAUACGUCUUGGUUAUAAUUCUAAAGCUGAAGUAUUUAUGCAAUGUGAUGAUUCCCCUGCAGGCUUUAGGGCAGGCAGGGAAAAACCAAUCAGUUCAAGGGAAGACUGAAACUCAGCUCAGCCCGAUUUUAUUGUAACUGGCACUGGACCAGGACUUCUAGAGUGUGGCCCAGAUCAUUUUGCAUUAGCCAUAUUUAAGCACAGCACAAGUUUGGGAGAAGUAUUUAGAUGACAAUUAACUCAGCCCUGUGAGUACAAGAAAGCUUAAGACAUGCUUACAUUGAAGUUCUUUGCAAAGUACCUGUGGCUUCACCCAUAAGAUGGGUUCUUGUUGACUCAGAAACAGUGCUCAAGCUAAGGGUCUGAGGAGAAUGACUGAGGUAGACAUGCCUGGCCCUAAGAUAACAUAGAAGUCACUUAGGCUGUUGUAAAGUACAAAUGACAUCUCUCACAAGGAUGACCUGGAAGUAAUGCUCAAGGUUUUAAGAGGAAAGGGUUUGGGAUAAGUAAAGCAUAAAUUUUGGAAGAUACAGGCUGAGCCUGGCUCACCAGACAGCAAAGGAUCACCUGGUUGCAAACUACAUCCGUCCUCAGCAUUCCAGGAGGAACACUAGGCACCCCAUUCCACUGGAGAGGUAAGCUGUGUGUUCAGUUUCCUGGCUUCUCCAGUGCGUAUCCGUCUGCACGAGACCCUUUUUGCCCCUUACAGAGGGACCGGUCACAGGAUCUUUCUUUACCUGUGACUCUACUGAGUCUUUUGCUGUCCAUAGUUUUGACUCUUCCUAUAAGUCAGUUCUGGCAAAAUGAAACUUCUUUUAUAAACUGAUUUGAGAUUGUUUGGCUAAAAA